GAGAAAACCGAAACAAAUGUCAGCUUUAUUUUUUAAAGAUUUAGUUGUUGGAAUGGACAAGCAAAACAAGUCUCAGCAAGGCAUCCAAUAAUUAUUCACACUAAAAUAUCAGCUCAGUUUUGCUUCUGGAAAGCAUUCCUAUUCUCUCUUUGGAGGAAAAGAGUUGUAUCUAAACUCAUUCAUUCCAUGUAUAGCAAAACAGACAACUAGAAACUCAGGUUCUAGUCUUUGUUUCUCAAAUUAAUAGGCCUAGUAUUUCUAAUCCUCAUUUUUUCUGACUCAUAAAAUGUGGUUGAUGGAUAUGAAUAUCAAGUAAUUUGACAUGUACAAAUGUGUGCAGUACAAAAGCCAAGUAUUAUUCCAGCAUGAAAUUAUUAAUGGCUCAUUGCUCAUAUACUCUUAUUCAUUAUGAAACCUAGAAUCCUAGAAAGGUAGAGACAGAAUAAAGCAAGUGUCAAUAAAUAUUAUUGGUAAAGGAACCUUUACCUUUGCUCUUCUUUGCUUUAUUAUUUCUUCUGAAAGACCACAAAGAUCACUCCUCUUUCUUUUUUCUCCAGCUGCCCCAGCACAUUUUGAUCUUCUGAAGUCCUUCCCCAUCAGCCUGCCAGUAGAGAACCCUCACAUUAUGGACCAUGAUCUGAAACACCGAUGCAGACAAAUUAAGACAUCCCCAGGCACUCAGUGUCAAGUAGAUCAUUUGUAAAUUAAGGAAACUCUUGACAAGUACCUGCAAUUUUAAUAUUCUUCUGCUUCUCAAAGGAAGAAAAAAUCACCUUAGGUCAUUUCCGGCAGAUAAAAUUUGGAUCUCCUGUAUAUACUGGAUGAAAAGGGACAUGUAUGAAUUAGCUUUUACUGCACUCUAUAUUGCAAAAAGAUUAUAGCUUGCCAUAAACUUAACUCAUAAAAUGACAUUCAGUGUAAGUUAUUUCUUUUCAGAGAGAUUCCCAUGGAAUGCCUGUAGUUUUAAAAUAGUUCUCAUUGUUUAUUGAACUACUUGAAAGAAAUCAAAAGUGAUUAUGCUUAUGUUUUCUUAAAGAAGAAAAAAAGUUAGAUUUUAAUCUCUUCAUGCUCCCUCUAUGAGAGUAUGUUCCAGCUGAGAAAUGGGACAAAACAGGAAAUACUUUAUGAUUUUUUUUAUGUGAAAGGGGGACCAUAGCAUCACUUCUGUUUAGUUUAUAAUUUUUCAAGUGUUGCCAGCCUUUCAUCCCCUCCUGAUGGGGUACUUCUUAACUUUCAUCAUACACAGUUAUACAAAUGGGUACUAACAGAGGAAAAAUUACAUGAAUUAUUUAGGAAAGCCAAGUUCUUUAAGCAUUACUGUGAAAAAUAACAUUCUUAUCAUUUGUGUAUAAAAAGCCAACAUUUACUUAUUCUGGAUAAAAAUGAAAUAUGUUCUUAUGCCAGUUAUUGAAAAAUUUGUAUAUAGACAUGAUACCAUGUAUAUAUAAUAUAUUAUAUUUAAUGAAUAAAAUAACUU
rnacentral:lncRNA from 1 species